GGGCUGGCUCAGCAUUGGAGAGCACUGCACUGUUCUUGCAGAGGUCCUGAGUUCAAUUCCCAGCACCCA
rnacentral:tRNA from 1 species